rnacentral:rRNA from 1 species
GACGAACGCUGGCGGCGUGCUUAACACAUGCAAGUCGAACGGUAAGGCCCUACGGGGUACACGAGUGGCGAACGGGUGAGUAACACGUGGGUGAUCUGCCCUGCACUUCGGGAUAAGCCUGGGCAACUGGGUCUAAUACCGGAUAGGACCCUGGGAUGCAUGUCCUGGGGUGGCAAGAUUUUGCGGUGUGGGAUGGGCUCGCGGCCUAUCAGCUUGUUGGUGGGGUGAUGGUCUACCAAUGCGACGACGGGUAGCCGGCCUGAGAGGGUGACCGGCCACACUGGGACUGAGAUACGGACCAGACUCCUACGGGAGGCAGCAGUGGGGAAUAUUGCACAAUGGGCGCAAGCCUGAUGCAGCGACGCCGCGUGAGGGAUGACGGCCUUCGGGUUGUAAACCUCUUUCAGCACCGACGAAGCGCAAGUGACGGUAGGUGCAGAAGAAGGACCGGCCAACUACGUGCCAGCCGCCGCCGUAA